UACGUAGGGGGGCAAGCGUUGUCCGGAUUUAUUGGGCGUAAAGAGCGUGUAGGCGGCCUGAAAGGUCAGCUGUGAAAACUCGAGGCUCAACCUCGAGACGUCGGUUGAAACCAUCUGGCUAGAGUCCGGAAGAGGAGUGUGGAAUUCCCGGUGUAGCGGUGAAAUGCGCAGAUAUCGGGAAGAACACCCGUGGCGAAGGCGGCACUCUGGGACGGUACUGACGCUGAGUGAGCGAAAGCCAGGGGAGCAAACGGG
rnacentral:rRNA from 1 species